GUCAUAGAAGAAUAUGCUGAAGAAUAUGACUGCUGGCAGGGAAAAUCCAAAUUGACAAAAGUAUUUUACUUUUGUUAAUAUGACUGUUUGUGGUGUGUGUGUGUGUGUGUGUGUGUUUUUCCCUCGGAUAGUAGAGUGAGUGAAUCUGUACGAUAAUAUCAAUAGAUGAAAGAGGAAAUAAAAGAUAUGACUGCUGAGUUGGAAAAUAAAGUUUUU